rnacentral:rRNA from 1 species
UCCUACGGGGCGCAGCAGUGGGGAAUAUUGGGCAAUGGACGCAAGUCUGACCCAGCAACGCCGCGUGAAGGAAGAAGGCUUUCGGGUUGUAAACUUCUUUUAAGGGGGAAGAGCAGAAGACGGUACCCCUUGAAUAAGCCACGGCUAACUACGUGCCAGCAGCCGCGGUAAUACGUAGGUGGCGAGCGUUAUCCGGAAUGAUUGGGCGUAAAGGGUGCGUAGGCGGCCUGCUAAGUCUGGAGUGAAAGGUACCGGCUCAACCGGUACAGACUCUGGAAACUGGCGGGCCAGAGAGCAGGAGAGGG